rnacentral:rRNA from 1 species
UGGGGAAUAUUGCACAAUGGGCGCAAGCCUGAUGCAGCCAUGCCGCGUGUGUGAAGAAGGCCUUCGGGUUGUAAAGCACUUUCAGCGAGGAGGAAGGUGGUGAGCUUAAUACGCUCAUCAAUUGACGUUACUCGCAGAAGAAGCACCGGCUAACUCCGUGCCAGCAGCCGCGGUAAUACGGAGGGUGCAAGCGUUAAUCGGAACUACUGGGCGUAAAGCGCACGCAGGCGGUUUGUUAAGUCAGAUGUGAAAAUCCCCGGGCUCAACCUGGGAACUGCAUUUGAAACUGGCAAGCUAGAGUCUCGUAGAGGGGGGUAGAAUUCCAGGUGUAGCGGUGAAAUGCGUAGAGAUCUGGAGGAAUACCGGUGGCGAAGGCGGCCCCCUGGACGAAGACUGACGCCCAGGUGCGAAAGCGUGGGGAGCAAAACAGGAUUAGAGUACCCUGGUAGUCCACGCUGUAAACGAUGUCGAUUUGGAGGUUGUGCCCUUGAGGCGUGGCUUCCGGAGCUAACGCGUU